rnacentral:tRNA from 1 species
AGAAAAUUAGUUAAAAAAAUAACAAUGGGCUGUCAAACCAUAAUAGCUAGUUUAAUCCUAGCAUUUUCUA